GGUUAAGCGACUAAGCGUACACGGUGGAUGCCCUGGCAGUCAGAGGCGAUGAAGGACGUGCUAAUCUGCGAUAAGCGUCGGUAAGGUGAUAUGAACCGUUAUAACCGGCGAUUUCCGAAUGGGGAAACCCAGUGUGUUUCGACACACUAUCAUUAACUGAAUCCAUAGGUUAAUGAGGCGAACCGGGGGAACUGAAACAUCUAAGUACCCCGAGGAAAAGAAAUCAACCGAGAUUCCCCCAGUAGCGGCGAGCGAACGGGGAGCAGCCCAGAGCCUGAAUCAGUGUGUGUGUUAGUGGAAGCGUCUGGAAAGGCGCGCGAUACAGGGUGACAGCCCCGUACACAAAAAUGCACAUAUUGUGAGCUCGAUGAGUAGGGCGGGACACGUGGUAUCCUGUCUGAAUAUGGGGGGACCAUCCUCCAAGGCUAAAUACUCCUGACUGACCGAUAGUGAACCAGUACCGUGAGGGAAAGGCGAAAAGAACCCCGGCGAGGGGAGUGAAAAAGAACCUGAAACCGUGUACGUACAAGCAGUGGGAGCACGCUUAGGCGUGUGACUGCGUACCUUUUGUAUAAUGGGUCAGCGACUUAUAUUCUGUAGCAAGGUUAACCGAAUAGGGGAGCCGAAGGGAAACCGAGUCUUAACUGGGCGUUAAGUUGCAGGGUAUAGACCCGAAACCCGGUGAUCUAGCCAUGGGCAGGUUGAAGGUUGGGUAACACUAACUGGAGGACCGAACCGACUAAUGUUGAAAAAUUAGCGGAUGACUUGUGGCUGGGGGUGAAAGGCCAAUCAAACCGGGAGAUAGCUGGUUCUCCCCGAAAGCUAUUUAGGUAGCGCCUCGUGAAUUCAUCUCCGGGGGUAGAGCACUGUUUCGGCAAGGGGGUCAUCCCGACUUACCAACCCGAUGCAAACUGCGAAUACCGGAGAAUGUUAUCACGGGAGACACACGGCGGGUGCUAACGUCCGUCGUGAAGAGGGAAACAACCCAGACCGCCAGCUAAGGUCCCAAAGUCAUGGUUAAGUGGGAAACGAUGUGGGAAGGCCCAGACAGCCAGGAUGUUGGCUUAGAAGCAGCCAUCAUUUAAAGAAAGCGUAAUAGCUCACUGGUCGAGUCGGCCUGCGCGGAAGAUGUAACGGGGCUAAACCAUGCACCGAAGCUGCGGCAGCGACGCUGAUGCGUUGUUGGGUAGGGGAGCGUUCUGUAAGCCUGCGAAGGUGUGCUGUGAGGCAUGCUGGAGGUAUCAGAAGUGCGAAUGCUGACAUAAGUAACGAUAAAGCGGGUGAAAAGCCCGCUCGCCGGAAGACCAAGGGUUCCUGUCCAACGUUAAUCGGGGCAGGGUGAGUCGACCCCUAAGGCGAGGCCGAAAGGCGUAGUCGAUGGGAAACAGGUUAAUAUUCCUGUACUUGGUGUUACUGCGAAGGGGGGACGGAGAAGGCUAUGUUGGCCGGGCGACGGUUGUCCCGGUUUAAGCGUGUAGGCUGGUUUUCCAGGCAAAUCCGGAAAAUCAAGGCUGAGGCGUGAUGACGAGGCACUACGGUGCUGAAGCAACAAAUGCCCUGCUUCCAGGAAAAGCCUCUAAGCAUCAGGUAACAUCAAAUCGUACCCCAAACCGACACAGGUGGUCAGGUAGAGAAUACCAAGGCGCUUGAGAGAACUCGGGUGAAGGAACUAGGCAAAAUGGUGCCGUAACUUCGGGAGAAGGCACGCUGAUAUGUAGGUGAAGUCCCUCGCGGAUGGAGCUGAAAUCAGUCGAAGAUACCAGCUGGCUGCAACUGUUUAUUAAAAACACAGCACUGUGCAAACACGAAAGUGGACGUAUACGGUGUGACGCCUGCCCGGUGCCGGAAGGUUAAUUGAUGGGGUCAGCGCAAGCGAAGCUCUUGAUCGAAGCCCCGGUAAACGGCGGCCGUAACUAUAACGGUCCUAAGGUAGCGAAAUUCCUUGUCGGGUAAGUUCCGACCUGCACGAAUGGCGUAAUGAUGGCCAGGCUGUCUCCACCCGAGACUCAGUGAAAUUGAACUCGCUGUGAAGAUGCAGUGUACCCGCGGCAAGACGGAAAGACCCCGUGAACCUUUACUAUAGCUUGACACUGAACAUUGAGCCUUGAUGUGUAGGAUAGGUGGGAGGCUUUGAAGUGUGGACGCCAGUCUGCAUGGAGCCGACCUUGAAAUACCACCCUUUAAUGUUUGAUGUUCUAACGUUGACCCGUAAUCCGGGUUGCGGACAGUGUCUGGUGGGUAGUUUGACUGGGGCGGUCUCCUCCUAAAGAGUAACGGAGGAGCACGAAGGUUGGCUAAUCCUGGUCGGACAUCAGGAGGUUAGUGCAAUGGCAUAAGCCAGCUUGACUGCGAGCGUGACGGCGCGAGCAGGUGCGAAAGCAGGUCAUAGUGAUCCGGUGGUUCUGAAUGGAAGGGCCAUCGCUCAACGGAUAAAAGGUACUCCGGGGAUAACAGGCUGAUACCGCCCAAGAGUUCAUAUCGACGGCGGUGUUUGGCACCUCGAUGUCGGCUCAUCACAUCCUGGGGCUGAAGUAGGUCCCAAGGGUAUGGCUGUUCGCCAUUUAAAGUGGUACGCGAGCUGGGUUUAGAACGUCGUGAGACAGUUCGGUCCCUAUCUGCCGUGGGCGCUGGAGAACUGAGGGGGGCUGCUCCUAGUACGAGAGGACCGGAGUGGACGCAUCACUGGUGUUCGGGUUGUCAUGCCAAUGGCACUGCCCGGUAGCUAAAUGCGGAAGAGAUAAGUGCUGAAAGCAUCUAAGCACGAAACUUGCCCCGAGAUGAGUUCUCCCUGACUCCUUGAGAGUCCUGAAGGAACGUUGAAGACGACGACGUUGAUAGGCCGGGUGUGUAAGCGCAGCGAUGCGUUGAGCUAACCGGUACUAAUGAACCGUGAGGCUUAACCUU
rnacentral:rRNA from 1 species